GGCUGUUUUCCAGCUAAUAUGGAAGUAUUGCUAUGUUUUAUACAAGUGUGUGCCAGUUGAAUAUCAGCUCUGAAUAUAAGAGCACCUACCACAUGUGGGUGUCCUGCAUAUUAAGUGAUAUAACAUAUAAGGCCUGUAUAUUGUCAAGUUCUAACUGAUUACUAACAUGAUCACAAGGACUUAAAACAGGAAGUUUUACAUUAGUCAUGCUGUUACACACUUUGUACUCUUGUUUAUUUCUUAAAUUCAGUGUUCAUAAACCAUCAGCAAAUACACAGUGAGUCUAUUACAAAUGGGGAACUGUCCUGGCCAGGGGUUGACCUCUCUGUUGAGGGUGGGUUGUCUUGGAACCCUUCUUUCCAUUCUCUUUCCUAUUGCCCUGGCUGAUGUGGGGAAUGAGGUUGACAUUCCCAUGGUGAACUUGUAUUCCAUUUGGUGAGAUAUUUUCCCAGGGCCCUUAGCAGGAAUCCCAGAUUAGUUUCUUCAUAGAAAUUGUGUUAUAAUUUGGUGAUUUGCUGUGUUAACUUUUUUCUCUUGAAUUAUUAGGUUUAUAUUCUGCAGUUAAAACUUUACUACAAGAAAAUAACUUACAAAAUGCAAAAACAUCACAAUUUAUUGCAUUUAGAAGGCAAGACUGUGAUCUAAUUAAUGACUGCUGCUGCAAACACUACACAGGCCACCUCACCAAAGACCAUCAGAGUAGACUUGUUUUUGGAAUUGGUGAUAAAAUUUGUUGUACCAGGAAUGCAUACCUCUCAGACUUACUACCUGAAAAUAUCUCUGGAAGUCAGCAAAAUAAUGAUCUAGAUGCCAGUAGUGAAGACUUUUCUGGUACGCUUCCUGAUUUUGCUAAAAAUAAGCGUGACUUUGAAAGUAACGUUCGACUGUGCAAUGGAGAGAUAUUUUUCAUAACAAAUGAUGUAACUGAUGUAACUUUUGGAAAGAGAAGAUCUUUGACCAUUAAUAAUAUGGCUGGCCUGGAAGUAACUGUGGAUUUUAAGAAACUAAUGAAA
rnacentral:lncRNA from 10 species